rnacentral:rRNA from 1 species
GACGUAGGGCGCGAGCGUUGUCCGGAUUUAUUGGGCGUAAAGAGCUCGUAGGCGGCUUGUCGCGUCGUCCGUGAAAACCUGCGGCUCAACUGCAGGCUGGCGGUCGAUACGGGCAGGCUGGAGUUCGGUAGGGGAGACUGGAAUUCCCAGUGUAGAGGUGAAAUUCGUAGAUAUUGGGAAGAACACCGGUGGCGAAGGCGGCUAUCUGGACGGUUUCUGACACUAAGACUCGAAAGCGUGGGGAGCAAACAGG